GUGGCUAUGGUGUAGCGGUAGCACGCGAGCUUGUGGAGCUCUCUGUCUGGGUUCGACUCCCAGUAGCCACC
rnacentral:tRNA from 1 species